rnacentral:rRNA from 1 species
GACGUAGGGGGCGAGCGUUGUCCGGAUUUAUUGGGCGUAAAGAGCUCGUAGGCGGCUCAGCAAGUCCGGCGUGAAAGCCUCCGGCUCAACCGGAGAGAGCCGUCGGAUACUGUUGUUCUUGAGGGUCGAAGAGGAGAGUGGAAUUCCCGGUGUAGCGGUGAAAUGCGUAGAGAUCGGGAGGAACACCCAUGGCGAAGGCAGCUCUCUGGUCGGCCACUGACGCUGAGGUGCGAAAGCGUGGGGAGCGAACGGG